CACUGAUGUUCAGAACCGCGUGGGCGGCUCGCUAGACGUAAACCACUGGACCCCACUGAAUGUGGGGGUCUGGACCAUAAGUAACGCUAAUGAGAACAGCCAACAAAGGCGACAUACCAGACAGACAUGGGCUAAUACGCUCUGCUUGUUCAAACUGGGAAGAGCGUACCCCGUAAACAUUGAUUGCCGACAACCUCUUUCCAAUCAUAACUCUGCUCAGUAUGACCCUCCAUGAAAUUCUGCUCACUUAAUGUUAGAGGACUGAAUAUUCCAGUCAAGAGGUACAUAUUGGGCAGAGAAUUGAAAUCCCUG